UUACAUUCCAAUUGGCACUAUCCUAUUAGUCAUAAUCCAUAUCUAUCCAAGAAUUUAGUGCUAAAAUUUCACCAUUAGUGUUGUUCCACUUCCACAUCAAGCGGGCUAAAUAAGCAAAAUGAAAAUGGCAUUACUCAUAAUGAAAUCCUAGGACAUUCUCACCGAUGAAAAUGAAAAAGGCAUUACUCAUAAUGAAAUCCUAGGACAUUCUCACCGAUGAAAAUGAAAAAGGCAUUACUCAUAAUGAAAUCCUAGGACAUUCUCACCGAUGAAAAUGAAAAA
rnacentral:misc_RNA from 1 species